rnacentral:lncRNA from 1 species
GAUUCCAGGAUUUCUCUGAAUUUUAAAGUGAUCAAAAGUAAGUUCCUAUACCGAGAACCAAUCCAAUUAAGUCUGUAGCAUCUACCAAUUUCUCCAUAUCCCCCUUUUCUUUUCAUGUGAGAUUAGGAUCUUGUUUUAAUGUCUUUCAUUUAUACGAGAACAAUUGAAUUGCUUAGUACUCAAUCCUGAUAUUGAAGUAAAGGUUGAUAAAUUAAUUUGAUACGCUAAAGUUAAAAUUUGAAUGGUUAGAUGAAUAGCACCAAGAUUGAGGCCCAGUAAUGACGAAGCUAUGUAUAAAUCCCCAUUAAGGCAAAAGAGUUACGUGACUUCUUCUCAUCUGCCUAAGCCUUAGUGGCCACUAUUACUCGAUACCUAUGUUGGUAGGAGAAUGCAAGUACGUGGUGAAAAAUAGUCCAGAUGCGUGCAGGUUGGUGGGGCACCACUAUUGUCCCAAAAUAAAUGAAUUCUUGAAAGUUGUGACAGUUAUAUGUAAUAUUUAUUGUUUACCAGUGUUGUGAAGAGCGUGAAGCGAGGAAAAGCGACAUGCCCCUUUUCGCUUAAAGCGAGAAGCGAAGCGCUCGCUUUUUUGAAGUGAAACGGAAUUUUAAAAAAAUAUAUAUUAAAAUAAGAAAGAACAACUGAAACGAAAAACUAAGAACACCUAAGAAGAAGGCCAUUAAAAGAAUAACUACAUAACACAUAAGAAAGGCAAUAAGAACUAAGAAUAAAGGAUAUGAAAAUAAGAAGGGCAGUAUAAGUAUAACUGAAACGAAAAAAUUGGGCAGCAUUUCAAACGAAAAAACAGUGCAAGAAAAUGAAGAAGAAGAGGAGGAGAAGAAUGAGAAAGAAAAACUGAAGGGAAAAAAAAUUCGCCAGCAUUUCGCUGCUAUUUGGACGCUGAAACAGUGAAAGAAAAAGAAAAAGAAGAAGAAGAAGAAGAAGAAGAAGAAGGAAGAAGAAAUCACAUACUUGGACCAAACUUGAUGAUCUUGAAGUUGAAAAGUGUAGAGAACUUGAACCCUAGGUUGCCUCUUUCUUUCUUUGUUGCUGCUCGUUGAUGAUGUUUUAAAAAAAGAACAGUUUUUUUAAUUAAAUAGGUUGGCAGCCCUGUAAUACAGAUCGCUUCUUACGCAUCGCUUCGCAUCUGCGCUUCUCGCUUUUUAAUGGGAAGCGAGCGCUUUUUUAAACCUACUACGCUUCAGCUAACAGAAGCGUUUGAUGGUUCGCCUCGCUUCGCUUCUCGCUUUAAGCGAGGAAGCGCUCGCUUUUCACAACACUGUUGUUUACUGUCAAAUACUUUGAAACAUUUCAAAAUGGAAAGAGUGCCAUAUAAACAGGAACCAAGAGAGUACUAUUAAUGUUUUAAACAGAUAAUGGAAUUUUCAGCUGUGACCAGGAUAAUUUAUUGUUUGAUUGGAGUGAUUGUUAAAGCAAUGUUUUGAGAAUUCAACCGUCAUAUGUAUACCCGGGACUUCAUAAUGAUGCAUUUGUGGUCCUUGGAGACAGAAAGAGAAAAGUUGAUAGGAGUAAUAGGAGCUGUUUUUAAUCCAAUUAUGAACUAUUCCGAAGGACUGGUAAAUUUGGGAGUUUAGCAAGAUAAGUUGGAACUUGGAAGUAGCACCUAUAUUCAACCAAGUGCCUAUACUACUCUUAGUUGCCCCCUUUUUGUCGUUAAGAAUCAGUAGUUCAAGUAUAGUACAUGAAAUAAAUAAAAUUUUGAUAAGGUUUGGGCAACCGAAGCAUGAAUAAAUUUUCUCUAAAAAAGAAUGUGUCAAAGCUCGAAACAACAACAACAACAAACCCAGUAUAUUCCCACAAGUGGGGUCUGGGGAGGGUAGUGUGCACGCAGAACUUACCCCUACCUAGUGAAGGCAGAGAGGCUUCAAAGCUCGAAAGACCUAAUAAAUUAUUUUGGGAGUGGUUACCGUCACAUGACAUGUGCCUUUAUGAUUGGAAUUACCUCUUUUUGCUAGAUACACUAAGUUUUGUCUACUCUGAUUGUGUAAGAUCUAGAUUAAAGAGCUCAUUGAAGUGAUGAUAAUUGACACUUCACGUUGGUGCAAAUCCCCUCCGCGUUUGAUCAGUUUAUGCCUUCUUGGUUGGUCCUAACCCUCAAAGGGCCUGACAUUAGCGGAAGAAUGAGAGAAAUUCUUAUUGAUUGGUUGAUUGAAGUCCACCACAGAUUUGAACUGAUCCAGAGACUCUUUGAUAGGGAAAAACUGUACCAGACAUGAACAUUUUUUGAUAUCUCCAUCUCGUUUCAUUUUUGAAUGAGUUUCACCUGUAGUUGAAUGCAAAUUUUGUGUCUAGAAACAGCUUUUAAUCUGGUCAAAUGGAAUACAUUCAUUCUUGAUUAAAGAAAUUGGUGGCUGUGUGAGGGCUUGAAAUCUCCCAGUAAAAGCUUAUUGUGCAAAAUGGAUUUGGUGUCUCAAUCUUCCAGACAGAGCUCUCUGGAAAAUGGUCAUUUGCACAAAAUAUGACAUGGACAAGAUCCUCUUCUCCACCUCUUGGCUUAGGUGUGCGGAAGCAUAUCAGAGUCCUUUGUCGCUACUUUUGGGAACAAUGCUCCUUAAAAGUAGGUGAUGGAAGAAAGAUUAAAUUUUGGCGAGACUUGUGGCUUGGACACACCCCCCUUAUGAACAGAUUUCCUGCUUUUUCUAGAUGUGCAUUCAACCAACACUCUUUCUUAGCCAAACUUGAGUCAAGUUGGCCCGCAUUACAUCGUGGGCGUCACAUUCACCCCCCUCCCCCAGGGGGUUCAGCGUCCUCCUCACCACCGUACUGAGGGAGUGUCAGACUUUGAUACCAUAUUUGUCACAGCCUAAGCUGAUGGCAUAUAGGGGUGUACAUGAGUCGGGUUGGUUUGGGUUUUACCAAACAACUAUCAAUUUUGUCGGUUUUAUCGUGUUUUUUCGUUUUUUCCCACAUGAAUAUUAUUUCAUUACUUUAUUAGAGUUAUAGAUAAAAUUUUAAUAAGUUAAUAUAUAUUUGGUAUGAAUUAAACAAAUUGACAAACAUAUGAUCUAUUAAAAUAUUCUUAUGAGAUAAUAUUUUAGUAAGACAUUAUAGUUAUUUGUUUUGUCUAACAAUAAUUUUCAUUGAUGUACGUUUCAAGCUUAACUGAAUUUUAAUAAUUAAAACAAAAAUCAUAUAAAACCUAAGUAAUGAUAUGUUCUGUUUAAUUUUAAAACUUACGGAUAAAACACCAUUUCAAAUUUGAAAAAGAUAUAAGAUUUUAAUAGAUCUUGACAUAUGAACAUGGGAGAACGAAGAGAUUGACGCAUUUCAAUAAUACAAGAUAAGAAAGUAAUGAUACACGUUAAAAUCAAGUAUUAUUUAAAGUAAAUAAAAAUAGAUGCACUUUAUACUUCUAUGAAAUAUUACAUUCAUGAAAGGAUCACAAAUAUUUCUAGACAUUUUUAGUAGAAAUCCUAAAUAAAAGUUUAGAAGUAUAUAUAAAAAUUAUAUACUUAUAUGUCGGUUUGAUUCGGGUUUUUUUACUCAAUACCAAACCAAACCAAACCUAGUCGGGUUUUUUAAUCAGUUUGGUUUGACUUUUCGGUUAGAUGUAGUUUUCUGGUUUGGUUUGAACACCCCUAAUGGCACGUCUCAUCCGCUUUGGCGCAACAGACCUCAAGCUUAACUGAAUUUUAAUAAUUAAAACAAAAAUGAUAUAAAACCUAAGUAAUGAUAUGUUCUGUUUAAUUUUAAAACUUACGGAUAAAACACCAUUUCAAAUUUGAAAAAGAUAUAAGAUUUUAAUAGAUCUUGACAUAUGAACAUGGGAGAACAAAGAGAUUGACGCAUUUCAAUAACACAAGAUAAGAAAGUAAUGAUACACGUUAAAAUCAAGUAUUAUUUAAAGUAAAUAAAAAUGGAUGCACUUUAUACUUCUAUAAAAUAUUACAUUCAUGAAAGGAUCACAAAUAUUUCUAGACAUUUUUAGUAGAAAUCCUAAAUAAAAGUUUAGAAGUAUAUAUAACAAUUAUAUACUUAUAUGUCAGUUUGAUUCGGGUUUUUUUACUCAAUACCAAACCAAUCCAAACCUAGUCGGGUUUUUUAAUCAGUUUGGUUUGACUUUUCGGUUAGGUGUAGUUUUCUGGUUUGGUUUGAACACCCCUAAUGGCACGUCUCAUCCGCUUUGGUGCAACAGACCUCACAAAUUUGUCCCCUGGGCUACGCCAUCAUCGUGCCCAAAAGGGCGCAUACCGUGUGAAUUUGUGUUAUGCCGUAUAAAACUCUUCACUUUCCUCUCCAUUCCGAUGUGAGAUUCGCUUAAGGUGUUAUGCACCCCUUCUUCAGAAGCUUGCCAGCUUAGAAGCCUGUCAGUCCUUCUCUUUGACCCAUCCUCCAUCAUGGGCAUCACAACUAGAGAGUAUGAGGGGGUGGUGGUGGUGUGGAGAAGACGUAAUAGAAGAGGAAGAUGGGAAGAGCUCCUUGUUGUGAUAAGGCUAAUGUGAAGACAGGGCGAUACCGCGAUAGUCACCUGAAGAAGAUGCUUAGCUCAAAGAUUUUAUUGUAAAUAUGGAAGUGGUGGAUAUUGGAUCGCUCUUACUCAAAAAGCUGGUAAUUAAAGACUUCUAAUCAAAUGUGUGUGUCUCUGCGUGUAUUGAUGGGAUAUAUAUUUGGAUCAGUAUGAAAGAGAUGUGAGAAUAGUUGCAGAUUGAGAUGGCUAACUUAUCUUAGACCUAACAUCAAGCAUGGUAAUUUUUCUGAUGAGGAUGGAGUGAAACAAAAGAGUGAAUUGAAGCUGCUGCAUCCAAAUUAAAUAAAGGGUGUAAUUUUUAUUCAGCUAUUUCCAUCUCUUGUUUGAUUUUUCUCUAAAUUUGACUUUUAUCUUCUUUUAUAUAAUUCUGUCGUAUUUUAACAUCAGACCAUAUGAUGAGUACCUCUUUUUUGAAAGAAAAUAAGACCCGGUGUAUGUCUUUCAUCUCUUAAAAUUAAAAUGACCAUCCGGCAUAACAUGCAAAUGAACUAAAACAUAACAAAUUUCAAACAACAUUUAUAGAUGAACAUAUCCUUGUAAUGUUGACGGGUCUACUUAUCCUUCAACCAUGUACUAUUCCUUAAAGAUACAUACAAAAACAAAGAACUAUUAUAUAAUGAUUAGCAGGGAAAACCAAAGCACAUAAAUAUCCAUAGUAUCUUGAGGAGAUUGAAACGAAAGGACUUUUCAAGUGUUAAAUUAAUUUACUACCUCCAUUUUAUAUUCUCUUUAUUUUUCAUCCCUGAAAUUGUUAAAUGAGGGGUUUAAGUGAAAUGGAGGCCUUAUUUAGAAUUAGUAGACUUAUGGGUUUUUAAAUCUAAAUAUAAAAUAAAAAUCCUAUCUCUAAAAUCAGAUAUCUUGACUUCCUCUUCGUCAUCUUCGAGUUCGAACACAAUUGCUCCUUUUCCACUCCUUCAAUGCUCCUUCACUCUCAAAACUAAUCACCAUACUCGUCGAUUAUACCACGAGCCUAUUUGGGUUAGCUGAUUGUAAAUAACUGAUAGGCUUGAAGUACUGAAAAGCAUUUUUAAGUGCUUAAACUGAUUUUAUAAAUAAGUAGUUACGUAUUUGGAUAGAAAUGCUGACAUUGAUAAUAAACAAGUGAUAUAUUUGGUAAAAAAGUGUCGAUAAGCUUUUGUUUUACAAAAAAUUAUAAAUCUAAAAGUAGCUUUGUAAAGAAAAGGAGGAGCGGCAAAUUAAUGGAAUGAAGAAAAUUUAGGAGUUUUAUUUUGGGAAAGGUAUUUUUUGAGUUAGAAAAAUAUUAUUAAGGAUAAAACAGUAAAAGUCUUGGUCAACUUAAAAGUGCUUAUAAGCUGAAAAGUCAUAAGGGUAACCAACUUAUGAUUUUUGGCUGAUUUUGGCUUAUAAGCACUUCACUUAUAAGCACUUUGGAUGACAAGAGUGGGUUGCUCUAGUGGUGAGCACCCUCCACUUCCAACCAAGAGGUUGUGAGUUCGAGUCACCCCAAGAGCAAGGUGGGGAGUUCUUGGAGGGAGGGAGCCGAGGGUCUAUCGGGGAACAGCCUCUCUACCCCAGGGUAGGGGUAAGGUCUGCGUACACACUACCCUCCCUAGACCCCACUAGUGGCAUUAUACUGAGUUGUUGUUGUUGUUGUUGUUGUUAUAAGCACUUUGGGUAUUUACCAAAAGUGUAGAUAAGUCAAAAAGUUCUUAUAAGCCAAUUUGAUCAGCUUAUAAGCUUAUGCAAACACUCU